rnacentral:rRNA from 1 species
CCUACGGGGGGCAGCAGUGGGGAAUAUUGCACAAUGGGGGAAACCCUGAUGGUGCGACGCCGCGUGGGGGAAUGAAGGUCUUCGGAUUGUAAACCCCUGUCAUGUGGGAGCAAAUUAAAAAGAUAGUACCACAAGAGGAAGAGACGGCUAACUCUGUGCCAGCAGCCGCGGUAAUACAGAGGUCUCAAGCGUUGUUCGGAAUCACUGGGCGUAAAGCGUGCGUAGGCGGUUUCGUAAGUCGUGUGUGAAAGGCGCGGGCUCAACCCGCGGACGGCACAUGAUACUGCGAGACUAGAGUAAGGGAGGGGGAACCGGAAUUCCCGGUGUAGCAGUGAAAUGCGUAGAUAUCGAGAGGAACACUCGUGGCGAAGGCGGGUUCCUGGACAUUAACUGACGCUGAGGCACGAAGGCCAGGGGAGCGAAAGGGAUUAGAUACCCGUGUAGUC